rnacentral:lncRNA from 1 species
UGUCGACCGGUACUUCCUCGUAGGAUAGAUCCUCAUGGAGUGAAAUAGGCUCGUGGGCCAAGACAUGAGAGGGAUCCGGCUUGUACUUGCAUAACAUAGACACAUGAAACACAUUGUGGACCUUAGAAAGUUCUGGAGGCAGUGCUAGUAUAUAGGCAGUGGUACCAGUCAUGUCUAAGACUUCAAAUACUCCAAUAAAUCGAGAGUUCAGUUUCUCCCUCCUGCCGAAUCUACUGAUUCCCUUAAAAGGAGUGACCUUAAGAAAUACCCGGUCGCCUUCCUCAAAUUCUAAAUUUCUCCUUCGGGUGUCCGUAUAAAUCUUCUGCCUGCUUUG